UACAGAGGGGGGCAAGCGUUAUUCGGAAUUAUUGGGCGUAAAGGGCGCGUAGGCGGCUUUGCAAGUGACGGGUGAAAUCCCUCGGCUUAACCGAGGAACUGCCUGUCAAACUGCAUGGCUAGAGUUCGGUAGGGGAGACUGGAAUUCCUGGUGUAGCGGUGAAAUGCGCAGAUAUCAGGAGGAACACCGGUGGCGAAGGCGGGUCUCUGGGCCGAUACUGACGCUGAGGAGCGAAAGCGUGGGGAGCGAACAGG
rnacentral:rRNA from 1 species